GUGCUUGCUUCGGCAGCACAUAUACUAAAAUUGGAAUGAUACAGAAAAGAUUAGCAUGGACCCUGCGCAAGGAUGACAUGCAAAUUUGUGAAGCGCUCCAUGUUUUU
rnacentral:snRNA from 1 species